AUUCUAUCUUUCAAUCACAUGCAUCAGUACAGUUUGGGGCAUGACCUGCUGGAGAUGAGCUCUGCAUAGAAGGACUUGGGUCCUGAUGGACGACAGGUUGGCCAUGAGUCAGCAGCGUGCCUUUGUGGCUGAGAAGUAUUCCACAUUGUAACAUCGUGUAGAGCACUCAGAGUUAAAGAGUUAAUACUCCAGUUCCACGGAUCGUCGAUAGUUCCGGAUAUGCCUGUCUCAGAAGGGAAGAAGAACUACAUACCCCGGAGGACUUUGUGUUUCCAUUUUCUGCUCAGAGAGAAAGAUAAAUUCUGUCUGCAGGUCAUGAGAUGCCCCUUUUCCCUUUCUGCUCAUCUCUCUCAUUUU
ensembl:lncRNA